GCCCUCAAUGGCUCAGUAGCCAGUGUAGAUCCUGUCUUUUGUAAUCAGCAGCUACAUCUGGCUACUGGGUCUCUGAUGGCAUCA
rnacentral:pre_miRNA from 1 species